GAUGAACGCUGGCGGCGUGCCUAAUACAUGCAAGUCGAGCGAACGGACGAGAAGCUUGCUUUUCUGAUGUUAGCGGCGGACGGGUGAGUAACACGUGGAUAACCUACCUAUAAGACUGGGAUAACUUCGGGAAACCGGAGCUAAUACCGGAUAAUAUUUUGAACCGCAUGGUUCAAAAGUGAAAGACGGUCUUGCUGUCACUUAUAGAUGGAUCCGCGCUGCAUUAGCCAGUUGGUAAGGUAACGGCUUACCAAGGCAACGAUGCAUAGCCGACCUGAGAGGGUGAUCGGCCACACUGGAACUGAGACACGGCCCAGACUCCCACGGGAGGCAGCAGUAGGGAAUCUUCCGCAAUGGGCGAAAGCCUGACGGAGCAACGCCGCGUGAGUGAUGAAGGUCUUCGGAUCGUAAAACUCUGUUAUUAGGGAAGAACAUAUGUGUAAGUAACUGUGCACAUCUUGACGGUACCUAAUCAGAAAGCCACGGCUAACUACGUG
rnacentral:rRNA from 1 species